GGGCCUACGGGGCGCAGCAGUGGGGGAUAUUGGACAAUGGGGGAAACCCUGAUCCAGCGAUGCCGCGUGAGGGAAGGAGGUUUUCGGAUUGUAAACCUCUGUGGAGGGGGACGAUAAUGACGGUACCCCUUUAGGAAGCCACGGCUAACUACGUGCCAGCAGCCGCGGUAAUACGUAGGUGGCGAGCGUUAUCCGGAUUUACUGGGUGUAAAGGGAGCGUAGACGGCAGCGCAAGUCUGAAGUGAAAUCCCAUGGCUAAACCAUGGAGCUGCUUUGGA
rnacentral:rRNA from 1 species